rnacentral:sRNA from 15 species
ACUCGGCUUCCUUUGGGCCUUUGGGCAGCCAUUGAUGAUCAUAGCACCCUCUCUGUCUGUCUCCCUUUGAGAAGGGUAUGCCUCCAGCAUCCAGGGACGUUUUAUUGCCCAACCAGGCGCUGAAAGACGGCCGUAGAGUGGGGGGCAAAGUGCUGCAGCAAGUUUAUAUUUAAUUUCUGGCGCGGCAGAGACUCAAAUAUGUAGGGGUUUCCUCCUACGGAUGACUCGGCUCUCGGCUCUCGGUUGCAGGUGCGCCAUUCAGCGUCGUGUCGCCAUGGAUCAAAGCCUGGCAGCUGGCAACGGCGGACAACUCUCGACGACGUUUAUGAAAAAUUACCAGCAUGAAAGGACUCAAGGAGCCGAAAGACACUGCGACAAGUGAGUCGAGCCUGGGGGCGGGGCCUGAAGGGCGCGUGCGAACGCGCGAGUGAGCAAAUAAGCAGGCCCGAAAUGAGUCCUCGAAGCGGUGUCAAGAGGACAAGGGGCUGGGACUACGGACGGACGGGCAAAAGACAAUAAGCGCAUAAAUUACGCACGAAAUGUGCAGGGCCCUCCACACCCCCCCGCUCCGGCCCAAGAGGUGGAUACAGAUACGGAUACUGGCGACAGGACGCACACCCGGAUAGUUGCCUUUACUUGUAAGGUUACAAACGUAAUGAAAACGUAAAUCCCAGCCUGGCAUUCACAACUCAACGCAAUUUCUUUUCUUUCUUUAUUUGUUUUUUUUUUUUUCGGCGGCCCCGGAAAACGCAUCCUCCGUCCGGGCUUAACGGCGGCUUGUGCCCGGACUUUUGCGGUGCGCGGACUUACAUGCAAGGCGUACGGGUGUAUCUGCUGCCUUUCAUGCCGUUCCGUGGCGUUCCUUUUCCUGAAGAUCCCUGGACCGCCACCGCACUGAGCCUCUGAAAUUUAUUAUAGGUGGUGCCACACCCAGGGGCACGUUCUCGCCACUCAAUUCCCCGCUGGUCGUCGGGUCGGUGUGGGGCCUGGACGUUGCCGUAAUAUUUUUAUAAGUAGGCGGCGGGUCUUUUGCGGCGGCGGCAGGAUUUCGCCGAGUCAUAAAGAAUAUUCCGUAGAAGUGCAGGUGGUCCCCCACCGUUCUCCUCUAUUAUGCGUAAAUUGCCGCAGCGUUAGCGACCACAGAAUGGGUUGGGGGGUUGGGGGGUUGGAGGUUGGGGGAAACUUUGCCUAAUUAGAAAAUCACAGCGGCCAGGAGCAGAUUGCAGGCUCCUCCGGUUACCACAUAAUUUCGUUGCGUCGGGCAUGUCGUGCGGCGGCAUCGCAACACAAAACUGUGGCAUAGACCAACCAAUUUGGCAAUGCAGAAAGUAGCCAGAGAAGAGACCAGGACCAGGACCAGGACCGGCACCAGGAGAUCACGCAGGUUGCCAUGCAAUUAGCGCAAAAAGCGCAAGGUAUUACCACGCAUUCCGCCACUGCCAUUCGCAUUUAAUGAAAUAAAUGUGAGGGACAUUACGACCAUGAGAUACCCUCUAAACGAUGGCUACUUAAGUAGUUCUCU